GCCCGUCGCACCUACCGAUUGAAUGUUUCGGUGAAGAUUCCGGACUGUGGCUCGCGUGCUUCACGGCGCUCCUGCCGUGGGAAGUUAUCUAAACCUCAACAUUUAGAGGAAGGUGAAGUCGUAACAAGGUUUCCGUAGGUGAACCUGCGGAAGGAUCAUUA
rnacentral:rRNA from 1 species